GGAUGUGCCCAGAUGGGAUUAGCUAGUAGGUGGGGUAACGGCUCACCUAGGCGACGAUCCCUAGCUGGUCUGAGAGGAUGACCAGCCACACUGGAACUGAGACACGGUCCAGACUCCUACGGGAGGCAGCAGUGGGGAAUAUUGCACAAUGGGCGCAAGCCUGAUGCAGCCAUGCCUCGUGUAUGAAGAAGGCCUUCGGGUUGUAAAGUACUUUCAGCGGGGAGGAAGGGAGUAAAGUUAAUACCUUUGCUCAUUGACGUUACCCGCAGAAGAAGCACCGGCUAACUCCGUGCCAGCAGCCGCGGUAAUACGGAGGGUGCAAGCGUUAAUCGGAAUUACUGGGCGUAAAGCGC
rnacentral:rRNA from 1 species